UACGGAGGGUGCAAGCGUUAUCCGGAUUCACUGGGUUUAAAGGGUGCGUAGGUGGAGUGGUAAGUCAGUGGUGAAAUCUCCAAGCUUAACUUGGAAACUGCCGUUGAUACUAUCAUUCUUGAAUAUCGUGGAGGUAAGCGGAAUAUGUCAUGUAGCGGUGAAAUGCUUAGAUAUGACAUAGAACACCGAUUGCGAAGGCAGCUUGCUACACGAUCAUUGACACUGGGGCACGAAAGCGUGGGGAUCAAACAGG
rnacentral:rRNA from 1 species